GCGCCUUUAGCUCAGCUGGAUAGAGCAUACGCCUUCUAAGCGUACGGUCAGAGGUUCGAAACCUCUAAGGCGCG
rnacentral:tRNA from 1 species